AAUGAACGCUGGCGGUGCGCCUAACACAUGCAAGUCGAGCGAGAAAGGUCUUCGGACCGAGUAGAGCGGCAGACGGGUGAGUAACGCGUGGGAAUCUGCCCUUCAGUGAGGAAUACCUCUGGGAAACCGGAGUUAAUACUGCAUACGUCCCUUCGGGGAGAAAGAUGGCCUCUUGCUGUCGCUGAAGGAUGAGCCUGCGUACUAUUAGCUAGUUGGUAGGGUAAUGGCCUACCAAGGCGAUGAUGGUUAGCCGGCCUUAGAGGGCGAUCGGCCACAUUGGAACUGAGACACGGUCCAGACUCCUACGGGAGGCAGCAGUGGGGAAUAUUGGACAAUGGGCGAAAGCCUGACCCAGCCAUGCCGCGUGUGUGAAGAAGGUCUUCGGAUUGUAAAGCACUUUAAGUCGGGAGGAAGGGCUGUAGGUUAAUACCCUGCGGUUUUGACGUUACCGACAGAAUAAGCACCGGCUAACUUCGUGCCAGCAGCCGCCGUAA
rnacentral:rRNA from 1 species